rnacentral:rRNA from 2 species
AUGGCUCAGUGAGGCCUUCGGACUGGCCUAGGGAGGUCGGCAACGACCACCCAGGGCCGGAAAGUUGGUCAAACUCGGUCAUUUAGAGGAAGUAAAAGUCGUAACAAGGUCUCCGUAGGUGAACCUGCGGAGGGAUCAUU